UACAGAGGUCUCAAGCGUUGUUCGGAUUCAUUGGGCGUAAAGGGUGCGUAGGCGGCGCGGUAAGUCGGGUGUGAAAUCUUGGAGCUUAACUCCGAAACUGCAUUCGAUACUGCCGUGCUUGAGGACUGGAGAGGAGACUGGAAUUUACGGUGUAGCGGUGAAAUGCGUAGAUAUCGUAAGGAAGACCAGUGGCGAAGGCGGUUCUCUGGGCCUGUGCUGACGCUGAGGAGCGAAAGCGUGGGGAGCGAACAGG
rnacentral:rRNA from 1 species